UGGGGAAUAUUGCACAAUGGGCGAAAGCCUGAUGCAGCGACGCCGCGUGAGGGAUGACGGCCUUCGGGUUGUAAACCUCUUUCAGUAGGGACGAAGCGCAAGUGACGGUACCUGCAGAAGAAGCACCGGCUAACUACGUGCCAGCAGCCGCGGUAAUACGUAGGGUGCGAGCGUUGUCCGGAAUUACUGGGCGUAAAGAGCUCGUAGGCGGUUUGUCACGUCGUCUGUGAAAUCCUAGGGCUUAACCCUGUACGUGCAGGCGAUACGGGCUGACUUGAGUACUACAGGGGAGACUGGAAUUUCUGGUGUAGCGGUGGAAUGCACAGAUAUCAGGAAGAACACCGAUGGAGAAGGCAGGUCUCUGGGUAGUAACUGACGCUGAGGAGCGAAAGCAUGGGUAGCGAACAGG
rnacentral:rRNA from 1 species